rfam:Trichobilharzia regenti genome assembly, scaffold: TRE_scaffold0025038
CUGCUGAUGAGGAGUCCCGAACUAGGACGAAACAGCCGUCCAGUAC